rnacentral:rRNA from 1 species
CCUACGGGUGGCAGCAGUGGGGAAUAUUGGGCAAUGGGCGCAAGCCUGACCCAGCAACGCCGCGUGAAGGAAGAAGGCUUUCGGGUUGUAAACUUCUUUUGUCAGGGACGAAGCAAGUGACGGUACCUGUCGAAUAAGCCACGGCUAACUACGUGCCAGCAGACGCGGUAAUACGUAGGUGGAAAGCGUUGUCCGGAUUUACUGGGUGUAAAGGGCGUGUAGCUGGGCUGACAAGUAAGAUGUGAAAUCCGGGGGCUCAACCCCCGAACUGCAUUUGAAACUGUUGGUCUUGAGUGUCGGAGAGGCAGGCGGAAUUCCUAGUGUAGCGGUGAAAUGCGUAGAUAUUAGGAGGAACACCAGUGGCGAAGGCGGCCUACUGGACGACAACUGACGGUGAGGCGCGAAAGCGUGGGGAGCAAACAGGAUUAGAUACCCUGGUAGUC